UCCCGCACAUUGCCCUCCCCAAGUACUCCCAUUUGCUGGAACCUUCUCGAGCGCUCCCGUCGCAGGGAGGGCCGAUGCAGCCGCCCCUGAAGCUCGCGAGUCCCUAGCCUACAGCGGCCCCGACACUCGCGAGUCGCUGGCCGCUACAGCCGCUGGUCGCCGGCCUCUGCGCGCCGUCCGCAGCCCGCCCCGCCGCCGCAGCCACAACCUGGACUACGGGGCAACGCCUGAAAUGCGGCGGAGGCCUCGAUAGGCCCGGUAGCCAGCGGCUGCGGCCCGGUGGCUGUGGUCUUGAUGUGCAGCUCGCACCCACGCGCUGUCCGGCGGCCGCGAAUCAGGAGAACGGAGGAGGUUGAGCCGCAGCGUCGAGCUGCCCGCCGGCAGCCACAUCGAUCCGCCGCGCCUCCCGCCGGGCCACCGCGCGCCGUCGUGCCGCCACGCUCCGGCCACGCCACGCUCAUCAAGGGGGAGAGAUUAUUGCGGACCUGGGCUCCGUCGGCGCCUCCUGCUAAUGCACCGCCCUCGCUCGCUGCCUGCACGCAAAGCUCUGCGCUGCGCCGCCGCCUCCUGCGCUUAACUAGCAUAGAAGGCUCCAGGGUUCACUCGAGUCCAUGUAUCCUCUUCCUAGCGUAAGUUGCUCGCACGCCUUCCAGAACAUCGGCGGUGUGACGUUUUGGUGCUUGCCUAGGCACAGUGAUGGUGGUGGCUGGGCUGGGCGAUCCAGGGAUGGCAGCGGCUGGGCUGGGCGAUUCAGGAUUCAGGAAUGGCAGCGUGGUUGACAGGAGGAGAGUGGCCCCAGAUGCCAUCCUACAAUCGCAAGUGCAUGUCAUGUGUUCGCUGAAAUGCCUAUGUGAGAGUAGUUCCAAACCUACAUUUCAUCAGUAAAGGUAGCUGGAGGCUCUGCAGAAAAUGUGUCUAAUCUCUAUUUUCAUUUUGCAAAUCUGUACUUGGAUUUCAUGUGAAUUAUUUACUUGCCUAAACGAUCAUCUCUAGCUGUUGAUGAUCUCAGAGAUGCAUCUUCUCAUGUUCAGUUUCACUAACAGGAAAAAGCCACUAAGUGAACCUUUGAUCAGAACACAACAGGGAAAUGCCAUGUAAGUGGACCUCUACUGCAUUCUUGGAUGGAUCAUUUUUUUUUCCUCAUCUAUAAUGGUUGCUGCGUUGUUAUUUACUACUAUUUCGGUUGCACAAAUGGACCAAUGAUAUAAGUGUUGCCCAGCAUAUUUUGCAAACAGUUUACACAUGCUAAUUCGUCAGUUAAGUUCCAGCAUCAACUUUUACUGGACUUACAUUUUUUUUAAUAUUGUACACAAACUGGGCCCUCAUGUUAAAGUGCUUCAUCUAUAUAAAAAAAAGCUGGGUGUAAUAGUGGGAUUCACUGAUAGAGUGAAAAUGUAACGUAUGAAAUAGUUACCUUGAUGAUAGAUCAUUGAUCAAGCUUACUCAGCAUCUGUUCCUUUGAAUGGUCUCUUUGCCCUAUGUUGUAACAAUAGCAUGUAUCCAUUUGCUAUGUUUUGGUCAUACUAAUGACUGGCUAAUAAUAAACAGCAGAAUUACAUGAAAUGGUGCCUGAGGUGUGCAUUAUCUUAGCAGAUCCAACUAUCAAAUUCUUGACCCUGUGAGUGCAGGACCUGCAAUUCAUGCUCGUUGCUGUCCACUGAUACAAUAGGAUCCCCCAAAUCUGUGGCACUAAUAAGACAUACAAUGUCUGACUAAAAUGGAGGAGAUCAACUUGCUCUUUCGUGGCUUGAAAAUUGGUCAUGAAGUUUUCGGUAAAUGGAAUUUCAGUUCGGAAUUCAACUUAACACUGCUAAAUUGAGACUUUUCAGAGUCAUAAAAAAUCAAGGUUUAUGGGGUACAAGUUUCACAGUGGCGACAAGGUUGCUCGAAUCAGGCUACAUAUGUGUCGUGUCCUUUCAAGGCUAUACAUUUGUGUUGAUCUACUUUUGCUUUUAGUUGAUUUGUACAUGCUUCUGUUAGCUCCAUUGGCUAAUACAAGAUGAGGUUACAUUCUAUGCCCUGUUGUUUAGCUUCUAAUUAGAUAGAAAGGCAAAAGAAGCAUAUUUUUAGAAAGCUUUAAUUUUGCUUUUCACAUCAAGCACCUAGUGGUGGUGACAUUCGUUCAUAACCAACCACUAUAAUCAAGUACCAUUGUGCUAGAAUUCUUUGCCUAAGCACAAUGGUCCAUUAAUCUCCGUUGAAAACACGUAUUGUCGUAAACUUACAUGUCCUGUAAACUAAACUGUCUUUGAUUACAUAUACUAUACUCUUUAAAUA